rnacentral:tRNA from 1 species
GCGAGAAUGGCGGAAUCGGCAGACGCGCCGGACUUAGGAUCCGGUGGGGAAACCCGUGGGGGUUCGACUCCCCCUUCUCGCA